GCGGGUGUAUGCAUUUGGUGGUAGUGGGGUGGGGGGAACCGAACAGAGGAGGGGUUGGCAGUGAAGCCUGGGUUAUAGAACUCUCCUUCCUCUCCCUCCUUCCAGGGUUGCCGUGCAGGGAGUGUCAGCCACGUCUAGCGCACAGUCCCAGGCCCCAGGGCGAAGGCGGCCAGGGGAAAUGGGGCUCAGGGAUUGCUAAGCAAACGCAUCACUGGUGGUCUCCAGCGCCUGCGGAGUAUCUUUUGCUGCCUCUUACGUAUUGUAGGCAGUGCCUGAUGGCUGAGAAGAAUCGCAGAGGACUAGAAAAGGUUUGAGUCUGAAAUUAUCUGGCACAGAGGAUUAAAGCUCAGAAAUAAGUGAUUGCGAAACAGUUCAACUUCCCUGUUAAUGACAACAACAACAGCAACACGCUUAUUAAUUCCUAGCUGGAGCAUCAAGCUUAUGAAGAUUUCCAAGACUUUAUUGUUGACCCUUGUUGAAGAGAACUCUACUUGGCUUCUUUCCUGGCUUUCCUAAAUUGUUCACAUACAAGAUAAACUACCGUCAUUCAGACUUACAGAAGUGAGAAGACAAGCUGAACCAAAUGUAAAAUGGUAGCAAUUUACAGAUGUCAGAACUAACAUGUGGAUGAACUUAGAGAUGGAGAAGAAAGCUGGGCUUUUCCAAAGAGUGGAUCUAUCUGAACUGGAUAGCACUAUUGAACUUUGUUGCAUAUUUUGUGGUAGCUCUAAAACUCCUCUGCUUGCUUACAUACAACCAGACACCAGUGCCUUCUGAAGCUAAUCCAGGCCAUUUUUAUAACCUAAUGCAGUAGCACUUUGCAAUUAGAUGAAGAAGAUCGGUGGGAUUUCUUUCUGUGGUGAUUAAAAUGUGUCAGGGGAAGAAAUCAAGACAAUACUCCAAGUGAAAAAUAUAAAGUCAGUUAUUUCUUUAAUAUUUUGUGUUAUAGUAAUCAUUUUUAUAUUUUGAGCAUACUUUUUCUUGUCUACUUAAAUACUCAAAAUUAAUUAUAAAAUGUAAAUGUAAGCACAAUGAGAUACCAUCUCAUCCCAGUUAAAAUGGCUUUUAUCAAAAAGAUAGGGAAUAAUGAAUACUGGUGGAAGGAUGUGGAGAAUGGGGAACCCUCGUACACUGUCAAUGAGAAUGUAAAUUAGUACAGCCACUAUGGAAAACUGUAUGGAAGUGCCUCCGAAAACAAAGUAGAACUACCAUGUGAUCCAGCAAUUACACUAGUGGGUAUAUAUUCAAAAGAAAGGAAAUCAACAUAUUAAAGAGAUAGCUGCAUUCUCAUGUUUAUUGAAGUCCUGUUGAAAUAGCCAAAAUAUGGAAUCAACCUAAGUGCCCAUCAGUGGAUGAAUGGUUAAAGAAAAUGUGAUUGAUAUGCAAUGGAAUAUUAUUCAGCCAUAAAAAAGAAUGAAAUCCUGGCGGGGCACAGUGGCUCAUGCAAGUAAUCCCAGCACUGACCUCAUGAAGACAGAGAGUAGAUUGGUGGUUACCAGAGGUUGAGAAGGGGAGAGGAGAGGAGGGAUGAAGAGAGGUUGAUUGAUGGAUAGAAAUAUACAGUUUGAUAAUGAUAAAUCAGUAGGGUGACUAUAGUUUAUAAUAACCUAUUGUAUGGUUCAAAAUAGCUAAAAGAGAAUAAUUGAAAUAACGUAAGACAAAAAUUUAAGAUGAUAGAUAUCCCAAUUACACUGAUUUGAUCUUUACAAAUUAUAUGAAUGUAUUAAAUUAUUACAUGUAUCCCCAAAAUAUGUACAAGUAUUUUGUAUCAAUAAAAAAUAAAAUUUAAGAUAAAGUAAAUGUAAUGAUUAGCUUAUAUUUCCUAGAUCGGAAAUAAAUAUUUACUUAAGUAUGUUUAUGAUGAAGAGUUUUUUUAUAUUACUAUAAAAAUAGACACCUUACAUAAACAUAUUACAGUUGGUGUUUAGAUGGCUCUUUUUUUUCUGGCCUUGAAUUUCUGGAAAGUAGGUAUGGCCUGCUAUGUCAGGACUAGUUCUUGGAAUUCUUUGUUGUUUUUCAGUCAGCCUUAUUUUCUUGGGUCAUGUUUUGAACAAUAUUUAUCAAAUGUCUGUUUACCAGACGUUGUUCCAGAUGCUUGAACAAAAUGAAAUGUCUGCUGUCAUAGAGUUUCCAGUCUAUGUAAGACAGUAAACAAAUGUAUAAUAUAAUGCUAGAUAGUGAUAAGUGCUAAAAAGAAGAAGAAAAUAGGAAAGGGGAAAGAGAGUUUCUGUGUGAUUGUAUGUGAAAGUGUCCAUGCAUGCCGCUCACCCAGUAUUUUAAAUAGAGUGAUCAAGGAAGCCUGUCUGAAGAAGUAACAUUUGAACAGAGAUCUGAAAUAGUCAGUCACGGGAACAUUUAGGGAGAUGUUCCAGGCAGGCAUUGUGGACAAUUUAUGUCACAAAAAAGUCACCCAAGUGUUAAGUCAAGUAACAUCCUG
rnacentral:lncRNA from 1 species